rnacentral:tRNA from 1 species
ACCUGGGUGGCUCCGUCGGUUGAGCGUCUGACUUCGGCUCAGGUCAUGAUCUCCCGGUUCGUGGGUUCGAGCCCCGCAUCGGGCU